rnacentral:rRNA from 1 species
AGAUUGAACGCUGGCGGCAUGCCUUACACAUGCAAGUCGAACGGCAGCACGGGAGCAAUCCUGGUGGCGAGUGGCGAACGGGUGAGUAAUAUAUCGGAACGUGCCCAGUCGUGGGGGAUAACGCAGCGAAAGCUGUGCUAAUACCGCAUACGAUCUAUGGAUGAAAGCGGGGGAUCGCAAGACCUCGCGCGAUUGGAGCGGCCGAUAUCAGAUUAGCUAGGUUGGUAGGGGUAAAGCCUACCAAGGCGACGAUCUGUAGCUGGUCUGAGA